UACAGAGGGUGCGAGCGUUAAUCGGAAUUACUGGGCGUAAAGAGCGCGUAGGUGGUCUACUAAGUCAUGUGUGAAAGCCCCGAGCUUAACUUGGGAAUUGCACGUGAUACUGGUAGUCUAGAGUAUGGUAGAGGGAAGUGGAAUUUCCGGUGUAGCGGUGAAAUGCAUAGAUAUCGGAAGGAACACCAGUGGCGAAGGCGACUUCCUGGGCCAAUACUGACACUGAGGCGCGAAAGCGUGGGGAGCAAACAGG
rnacentral:rRNA from 1 species